rnacentral:rRNA from 1 species
CCUACGGGAGGCUGCAGUGAGGAAUAUUGGUCAAUGGACGAGAGUCUGAACCAGCCAAGUAGCGUGAAGGAUGACUGCCCUAUGGGUUGUAAACUUCUUUUAUAUGGGAAUAAAGUGUUCCACGCGUGCGAUCUUGUGAGUACCAUAUGAAUAAGCAUCGGCUAACUCCGUGCCAGCAGCCGCGGUAAUACGGAGGAUCCGAGCGUUAUCCGGAUUUAUUGGGUUUAAAGGGAGCGCAGGUGGAUUGUGAAGUCAGCUGUGAAAGUUGGAGGCUCAACCGUAAAAUUGCAGUUGAAACUGGCAGUCUUGAGUACGGGAGAGGUGGGCGGAAUGCGUGGUGUAGCGGUGAAAUGCAUAGAUAUCACGCAGAACUCCGAUUGCGAAGGCAGUGCACUGGAGUGCAACUGACACUGAGGCACGAAAGUGUGGGUAUCAAACAGGAUUAGAUACCCGGGUAGUC